AUUGAACGCUGGCGGCAGGCCUAACACAUGCAAGUCGAACGAGUGGCGGACGGGUGAGUAAUGUCUGGGAAACUGCCCGAUGGAGGGGGAUAAAUACUGGAAACGGUAGCUAAUAACGCAUACCAUCGGAUGUGCCCAGAUGGGAUUAGCUGGUAGGCGGGGUAACGGCGCACAUAGGCGACGAUCCCUAACUGGUCUGAGAGUAUGACCAGCCACACUGGAACUGAGACACGGUCAAGACCCCUACGGGAGGCAGAAGUGGGAAACAUGGGAAAAUGGGCGAAAGCCGGAUGCAGCCAUGCCGCGUGGAGGAAGAAGGCCUUCGGUUUGUAAAGUACUUUAAGCGAGGAGGCGUUACCCGCAGAAGAAGCACCGGCUAACUCCGUGCCAGCCGCCGCGGUAAUUC
rnacentral:rRNA from 1 species